GAAGUGGGCGAAAAAAAGGUCCGAGAGCCGUACCUGGACUUGCUUCAUUCUCAGGCUGGGGAUGGGUUCUCGGGGGACGUGAAGCUUAAUGGUUGGUGUAAGGUUUAAAAUGGAGAGAAGAUAAGAUGGAAUGGAGGAGAGAAUCAGCUCACAAUUUACAGAAGGCAAGAGAAUCUUCACAAAGUGAAGUGAAGUUCCACUGCAAGAAAAAUUAUGCUGGGAAUCUGGUCAGAGUAGUUCCCAGAUGGCCAUGGUACUGGGUAACAGCCUCAAGCUGGGCUCAUUUUGCAAGCUGGUGGAAUAACUCCUAGGAAAUCAAAGACUUCCAGUAAGACUUCUGGCACAAAAAAAGAACCUGCUUCCAUGCCCCAAAUUGCAGUGCAGGACUCUGAUCCCUGUGUGAAAAGGAAUCAAUUGACCGCUUUCAACUUGGAGGCACAUUCUGAACCCGGGAGCCAGAGAGAGCGUUCCAUGUAGAAAGAAGAUGAGUUGAGGGGACAGAGAUGAAGUUUGGGGGAGGAUGAGGUACUUGGAAGUUGUGGGGCAGAGUUCCAAAGAGAAGGAAAAGCUCCAUCAAUCUGCACAGAUAUCCUUUUGAGGUUUUGUUGAAUACUAAGAUGUGAGUGUGUAGGGUGGAAGGCAUCAUAAGAUAAGGCAACGAAUAACCAGAAACAUGUAAGAAUUCUCAGUGGAAAUAUCUGAGAUUCAACUAGCCAGAAGAGUCUUCCUUGAUCACUGGGGGUAUUCAGUAGAGAAUGCAAAAAAGUCAUACCUUAGUAGUGGGGCUAAAUUACCAUGAGUGAAAAGUAUUGUACACCUGCAAUGACAAAGUUUAAAUACAAGUCUCAAAAUAUGAAGCUGAUCUGCAAGAACCUUAACUUGCCUUAACUUGCAGAAGGACACACACACUUGAAAAGAAAACUGCAAAAUCCAGAUACUCAACAAUAUGAAAUUCAUAAUGUCCUGCAUCCAGUAAUAAAAAAAAAAAAUUACUACACAGGAUCCCAAAUAGGAAAAUGUGACUGAUAACCAGGGAAAAA